rnacentral:rRNA from 1 species
GAAUUUUGGACAAUGGGCGAAAGCCUGAUCCAGCAAUGCCGCGUGCAGGAUGAAGGCCCUCGGGUUGUAAACUGCUUUUGUCCGGAACGAAAAGCUUUGGUUUAAUACCCUGGAGUCAUGACGGUACCGUAAGCAUUAGCACUGGUUAACUAGCUGCCAGCAGCCGCGGUAAUAAGUAGGGUGCAAGCGUUAAUCGGAAUGACUGGGCGUAAAGCGUGCGCAGGCGGUUUUGUAAGACAGAGGUGAAAUCCCAGGGCUCAGCCUGGGAACUGCCUUUGUGACUGCAAGGCUAGAGUACGGCAGAGGGGGGUGGAAUUCCGCGUGUAGCAGUGAAAUGCGUAGAUAUGCGGAGGAACACCGAUGGCGAAGGCAACCCCCUGGGCCUGUACUGACGCUCAUGCACGAAAGCGUGGGGAGCAAACAG